rnacentral:rRNA from 1 species
UACAGAGGGGGCAAGCGUUGUUCGGAAUUACUGGGCGUAAAGGGCGCGUAGGCGGCCUGUUAAGUCGAACGUGAAAUCCCCGGGCUCAACCCGGGAACUGCGUCCGAUACUGGCAGGCUUGAAUCCGGGAGAGGGAUGCGGAAUUCCAGGUGUAGCGGUGAAAUGCGUAGAUAUCUGGAGGAACACCGGUGGCGAAGGCGGCCAACUGGGAAUGCAUUGACACUGAUGAGCGAAAGCCAGGGGAGCAAACGGG